rnacentral:snRNA from 1 species
AUCGCUUCUCGCCUUUGGCAAGAUCAAAGUGUAACUGUUCUUAUCAGCUUAAUAUCUGAUACGAUCCCCAUGUGGGAUCUACGAUAUUAAACUGAUUUUUGGAAAAUGGCGAAGUGCUAGGGGCUUGCUCCACCUUUGCCGCGGAUCGGCCGGGUUUUGCAGUACCCCCGGGAUUGGUCCACUCCCU